GAUGAACGCUGGCGGCGUGCCUAAUACAUGCAAGUCGAGCGAACAGACGAGGAGCUUGCUCCUCUGACGUUAGCGGCGGACGGGUGAGUAACACGUGGAUAACCUACCUAUAAGACUGGGAUAACUUCGGGAAACCGGAGCUAAUACCGGAUAAUAUAUUGAACCGCAUGGUUCAAUAGUGAAAGACGGUUUUGCUGUCACUUAUAGAUGGAUCCGCGCCGCAUUAGCUAGUUGGUAAGGUAACGGCUUACCAAGGCAACGAUGCGUAGCCGACCUGAGAGGGUGAUCGGCCACACUGGAACUGAGACACGGUCCAGACUCCUACGGGAGGCACCAGUAGGGAAUCUUCCGCAAUGGGCGAAAGCCUGACGGAGCAACGCCGCGUGAGUGAUGAAGGUCUUCGGAUCGUAAAACUCUGUUAUUAGGGAAGAACAAAUGUGUAAGUAACUAUGCACGUCUUGACGGUACCUAAUCAGAAAGCCACGGCUAACUACGUG
rnacentral:rRNA from 1 species